rnacentral:rRNA from 1 species
GAUGAACGCUCGCUACAGGCUUAACACAUGCAAGUCGAGGGGCAGCAUGGUCUUAGCUUGCUAAGGCCGAUGGCGACCGGCGCACGGGUGAGUAACACGUAUCCAACCUGCCGUCUACUCUUGGACAGCCUUCUGAAAGGAAGAUUAAUACAAGAUGGCAUCAUGAGUCCGCAUGUUCACAUGAUUAAAGGUAUUCCGGUAGACGAUGGGGAUGCGUUCCAUUAGAUAGUAGGCGGGGUAACGGCCCACCUAGUCUUCGAUGGAUAGGGGUUCUGAGAGGAAGGUCCCCCACAUUGGAACUGAGACACGGUCCAAACUCCUACGGGAGGCAGCAGUGAGGAAUAUUGGUCAAUGGGCGCAGGCCUGAACCAGCCAAGUAGCGUGAAGGAUGACUGCCCUAUGGGUUGUAAACUUCUUUUAUAAAGGAAUAAAGUCGGGUAUGUAUACCCGUUUGCAUGUACCUUAUGAAUAAGGAUCGGCUAACUCCGUG